rnacentral:rRNA from 1 species
AGUGAACGCUGGCGGUAGGCCUAACACAUGCAAGUCGAACGGCAGCACAGGAGAGCUUGCUCUCUGGGUGGCGAGUGGCGGACGGGUGAGGAAUACAUCGGAAUCUACUCUGUCGUGGGGGAUAACGUAGGGAAACUUACGCUAAUACCGCAUACGACCUACGGGUGAAAGCAGGGGACCUUCGGGCCUUGCGCGAUUGAAUGAGCCGAUGUCGGAUUAGCUAGUUGGCGGGGUAAAGGCCCACCAAGGCGACGAUCCGUAGCUGGUCUGAGAGGGUGAUCAGCCACAAUGGAACUGAGACACGGUCCAGACUCCUCCGGGAGGCAGCAGUGGGGAAUAUUGGACAAUGGGCGCAAGCCUGAUCCAGCCAUACCGCGUGGGUGAAGAAGGCCUUCGGGUUGUAAAGCCCUUUUGUUGGGAAAGAAAUCCAGCUGGCUAAUACCCGGUUGGGAUGACGGUACCCAAAGAAUAAGCACCGGCUAACUUCGUGCCAGCCGCCGCCGUAA